CACACACACACACAUGCUCACAUACACACAUGCUUUCAUACAUCACACACACACUCACACAUACACACACACACUCACACAUACACACAUGCUCACAUACACACAUGCUUUCAUACACCACACACACACACUCACACAUACACACACACACACAUGUUCUCACACACUGCUCCCAGGACCUGCCUGACUGGAUUCUCCACACAUGUUCUGGGGUUGAGGUCGACUCCCAUAGUGAGGAGAUGACACCAGUAUUGCUCAGCAUUCAGACCGCAGAUGUAACUACAAAUUGAAGCAAGACUUUAAGUUGCAGAGGAGCUCCUGAAUUUAGUAGGUGAAAUGCAGUACGCCAAUGGAGUAGUAUGUCCGAAUUCUAAAACAGGUGAGAAAUACCCGGAUGUCCUACUGCUUCCGCCGAGAUUCGGCAGUAUGGAACCAAUGGACACUGCGCUAUCCCAUAAGGCAAUGGGACUGGCUUGGAAGAGGUGUCAGAAACAAAGAUGGUGGAAGGCAGUGUGUCAGCUCUUUUUAAGUGUAAGUGCUAUAGGCAUUAAACGUUGUUCCUUGAGGUUAAACCGUACUUUUUUUUAACAACAUCUGAGUAAAUUGUUAACUUGUUGAAGGUUUAAACAAAACAAAACAGUUAAACAGUUGCCACAAGGCGCCUCUUUAACUUUUUUGCGGUUAUUAUGACGACGUAGGUCACAUGACAGUGCCGACAUGGCGGGUGUAGUAUGUCCAGGUUGUAUUCAUACUACACGCAUGUACUCAUCAUGACUUCGGACGCACGGACAAACUGACGCAACUACAUUAUACCAUACUGAAAUGUGUUUAAGACAAUGUAAAAUGUGCGAAAGAAAAUUUGCCCUAAUGUCCAGAGUUCAGAUCCUGACAAUAGCCAGGAAUCCACAAGAGCCAAUCUGGCCAUGCUGUGUGAGUGGGAGGGAUGGCAUACACACUCCCUUCUCAAUCAGAGUGACACUAGAAAAUCGUGGGCAUCUGGA